UACGAAGGGAGCUAGCGUUGUUCGGAAUCACUGGGCGUAAAGCGUGCGUAGGUGGUCUUUCAAGUUAGGCGUGAAAGCCCGGGGCUCAACCUCGGAAUUGCUUCUAAGACUGAUUGACUAGAGUGAGGUAGAGGAUAGUAGAAUUCCUAGUGUAGAGGUGAAAUUCGUAGAUAUUAGGAGGAAUACCAGUGGCGAAGGCGGCUAUCUGGGCCUUUUCUGACGCUAAGGCACGAAAGCGUGUGGAGCAAACAGG
rnacentral:rRNA from 1 species